GAGGGAAAAGGAGCAGAAAAGUAGCUUGUCUUUUAUUUUUAUUUGCCUUCUUUUUUUUCCCUUCCUCCAGAUAUCCCCCUGGGGCACCGGCCUAGAACAGAGCAACAAAUAUUUACUAAUUCCAUUAACAGAAGAGAGUUGGAAUUUUUUUUUCCCAAGCGAAUAUCCGAGGCCCCAAGUUCAUGUAGUGACCCAAAGUGACACUUUGGUUCACCAAGACGAAGACGCGUCCUUCCUCUCUCUAUGGAUCUUUCAGCCAGAUGUUGAACCCUGACACCAUGAUCACAGGAGUGACCUGCCUCUGAUGUGUUAGCUGCUGAGAGUCUACACUGACAAUGCUGUUGUACUGUAGAUCCCUGGUGUGUGCGCUUCAAGAAACUAAUAGGAGCCAUGAACCUCCUACCCCCAUAGCUAAAUGCCCACACACAACACUUUUCAUACAAUUCCUUGGAUGUAGUCUUGGGAGCUCUUCUCUGAGUUCUGGUGUAAGAUUCUCUUAUUUACUGAUCAGCUUGGGGACACCCCUGGAUAUUCCCAUGGGUGACUACUUCAACUCACAGAUGGAGAAACUGAGAUCUCAGGGCAGAAGAACUCCCCAAGUCCCAGGGAUACUUAGGGCUGGAGCCAGGGUUUGGGUGCUAUCUAUGCCUUCUCACUAUGCCUGUGGCUCACUGCUUCUUCUCACUACCCUCUUCUUUCUCUGAAAGCUUAAGACAGUUCUGAGUAGACAUAGGCAGUCUGGGAGAACCCAAAGGGUAGAGAAUAAAGGAUCCUGCACCAAUCUCGUAGGUUUGAAUCCAAGCUCCACCACUUACCCAAAGCCUUGGGUGAGACAUUGAACCUUUCUGUUUCUCAAUUUUCUCAUCAGUAAAAUGGGGAUUAUAUUAGCAUCUACCUCACAGAGUUAGAGUGAGGAUUAAAAUAGUACCCACAUAAAGUUUUGAAAGAGUACCUAGCACACAGUACACAUUCAAUGAAUAGUUAUUACUAUUAUCAUAAUUAUCAAGAUUAUUAUUAGAUGUAGAGGGAAAAACGCCUCUUGUGAUGUGGCAUAGACUCCACAGACAGGCUCAUAUGUGCCCUCUCCCACUCCAACUCAGCCAAGAAACAUUUCACUCCAGGCACAAACUGAUUUUGGUGUUGGGAUAGUAGAAUUCAGAGGUGCCUGGAGCUUAACUGGCUUAAUCCCAUAACUUUUAGGCAGAGAAACAAACAUGAAGAGAAAUCAAGAGAUUUUUCUGAAGCUCCCAGAGCUCUUUAGAAGCACAACCAGGUCUCCAUAACUUUCAACCUGGAGCUGGGACUCCAUUCAAUAGAGCACCCUCUCCUCCCACUACUUCAGGCUCAUCUCCCUCAAAAUGUAGUUCUGAAAAGAAGCCACUGGCUCUGUGACACUAAAGGGGUUAACUCAGAACCCUGCAGCUGGCUGCAGUGCACAUCCUCAGCUCUGAUUUUCAUUUGCAAAACAAACAAACAAGAGGUUCUCUAAUAACUCCCAGACCUCCUUCUUUGUGGCUGAGAUGUGGAUUUUGUAAGAAGCAAGGCUUCCAAAGAUCCCUAAUUCCUAUGCUGUUGUUGACAAAGAACUAAAGGCUGUUUCAUGGCUAGUGAAAGCUUCACAUGCUCAUUCAUUCAUUCAAAUUCAUUCAUUCACCAAAUGAUUACUGAAGACCUACCUUAUGCCUUCAGACAUGGAUACAGCCACCCUCCCAGCCCUCAUAGAACGGAUGGUAUUCUUACAGUGUUUUCAGAGCUGCACCAACAGAGAGGCUAGCAUGGGAUAGGAACAUGGAGGUAUCCAGCAAAUAAAUGCCAGUCCAAGAGGAACACGGGAUCAUUUGGUUCAAUGGAAGUCCAGUUCCCCAGGUUGAAUUUCUAGUUUGUUGCCUGGUUCAAAAUCACAUUGGUACCCCAGAUUGGCCAUUCUUCUCAUCCUCCCUUCCUUUUCCUCUUUUUCAUUCUUCCUCUUCUUCAUGUUGUCUACCAUGAGCUGAAAAAUAAAUCAGUAUGAUAUAUUGGGAGCCCCCUUUUUCUAGAUGGACAGUGGAGGACAGAGAAAACAGUCUAUGCAGCCAAAGCUUCACAGGUAGUAAGUGGGGAAACAGGGUUUGAACCAAAGUCUAUAGGCCUUCAGAUCCUAGGCUCUUCUCUUCUGGUUUAUAUGUGUCAUUUCCUUCCAUUUGUCAAAUAAAAGAUAGAAUAAGGGAGGUUUAAGGCUCACCAUGAGUUUCCACAACAGCUAAUAUUUGGAGGAAUUGCAAAUUCUGGAAUGACAUCCACUUUAAGCUGCAAGGUAAAUGUUCUUUAGAAACAUACCUGAGGGAUUGGGAAAAGCAGGUGGGAGAAAUGCUAGCUAUAUCCGUACAUGGUAGAAGGGGUGAGAAAGGUCUCCGGAGCACUACUGAGAGGGGCGCUAAUCUCAUUCAUAAGGGUUCCACCCUUAUGACCUAAUCACCUCUCAAGGCCCUCUUUUCAAAUAGCAUCACACCGGGGAUUCAGUUUCAACAUAGGAAUUUUUUGGGGGGUUGGGGGGACACAAGCAUUCAGUCUAUAGCAUCAACCAAAGCUUUAUCUUCUCAAAUAGAUAUUUUCUUAUGUAAUCAGGUUGAAUUUGAUGAGCACCUCCCUGUGUCCAUUGAGUCUUAUGGGAAGCAGAUGCUAAAAUGGAGUGAGAAAUGCAAGACAUGUCUUAGGGGGUAAUGCCUGUGAAAGAUAAAGGCACAGGAAACAGGAGUAAAAAGAGCCUCAGAUCACAUUGAAGAUCCAACAAAGUCUCAACCAACUUAAUGAGGAGCUCCUCCAGAGCUGAGAUUUCCUGUUAGAGGAGUCCUGCACUGGGCAGAACUGGCCAGGCUCUGGUACUUCUCCCAUGCUCAGUGUUUGGCUGGGGGCUCCCAAGGAAAGAUGUGGCUUUGAUUUAAAAGCUGAAGUAGAUCUCAAAGGUACUGCAGCUGAGGGCUGUCCACUAACUACACUCCUUGCAGCUGAAUGGCAAGUUAUUUCUUGAAAGGAGACCUGAGUGUCACGUCUUCAUGGUUACCAUACCCUUUUAUACCUACUAUAUAUGAAACACUGUAUUAGGUCCUGGAACGGGAGAAGGAAGAUAAUACUUAAUUCCUGCCUUAAGAGAACCCACAGGCUGGGUGCGGUGUUUCACACCUGUAAUCCCAGCACUUUGGGAGUCCAACACAGGCAGAUCAUAACGUCAAGAGAUGGAAACCAUCCUGGCCAAAACGGUGAAACCCCAUCUCCACUAAAAAUACAAAAAUUAGC